rnacentral:rRNA from 1 species
AUACGGAGGGUGCAAGCGUUGUUCGGAAUCACUGGGCGUAAAGGGCGCGCAGGCGGUUUGGUAAGUCAGAUGUGAAAGCCCACGGCUCAACCGUGGAAGUGCAUUUGAAACUGUCAGACUUGAGUACUAGAGGGGAAAGUGGAAUUCCCGGUGUAGAGGUGAAAUUCGUAGAUAUCGGGAGGAAUACCGGUGGCGAAGGCGACUUUCUGGCUAGAUGCUGACGCUGAGGCGCGAAAGCGUGGGGAGCAAACAGGAUUAGAAACCCUAGUAGUCC